GACGAACGCUGGCGGCGUGCUUAACACAUGCAAGUCGAACGCUGAAGCUCAGCUUUUGUUGGGUGGAUGAGUGGCGAACGGGUGAGUAACACGUGAGUAACCUGCCCCCUUCUUUGGGAUAACGCCCGGAAACGGGUGCUAAUACUGGAUAUUCACUGGUCUUCGCAUGGGGGUUGGUGGAAAGGGUUUUUCUGGUGGGGGAUGGGCUCGCGGCCUAUCAGCUUGUUGGUGGGGUGAUGGCCUACCAAGGCUUUGACGGGUAGCCGGCCUGAGCGGGUGACCGGGCACAUUGGGACUGAGAUACGGCCCAGACUCCUACGGGAGGCAGCAGGGGGGAAUAUGGCACAAUGGGCGCAAGCCUGAUGCAGCGACGCCGCGUGAGGGAUGGAGGCCUUCGGGUUGUGAACCUCUUUCGCUCAUGGUCAAGCCGCAACAAUGGUUGUGGUGAGGGUAGUGGGUAAAGAAGCGCCGGCUAACUACGUG
rnacentral:rRNA from 1 species